GGCCACGACCAUAUUACCCUGCAGCCCCUGACCGGUUACUUACUGAAGCUAAGCAGGGCUGAGCCUGUUCAAUAUCUGGAUGGCAGGACACAUGGGAAAACUAGGUUGCUGUUGGAA
rnacentral:rRNA from 1 species